rnacentral:rRNA from 1 species
UACGUAGGCAGCGAGCGUUGUUCGGAGUUACUGGGCGUAAAGGGUGUGUAGGCGGUUCUUUAAGUUUGGCGUGAAAUCUCCCGGCUCAACCGGGAGGGUGCGUCGAAUACUGAGGGACUAGAGUACGGGAGAGGAAAGUGGAAUUCCUGGUGUAGCGGUGAAAUGCGCAGAUAUCAGGAGGAACACCGAUUGCGAAGGCAGCUCGCUGGAACGUUACUGACGCUGAGACGCGAAAGCGUGGGGAGCAAACAGG